ACAUAAUUUGCAUACGAGUCAAUGGCGAUUGAUAAGUGUUCCCACGAUGUAAUAAGCAAAUAAUAUGUCAGUGGCACAUACUAAGGAUUUAACAUAGGAAAAAUGGAAUUAGCUAAAGCAGUUUUCGGGGAUCGUUCACUCGACGGAUACAGCAGCAAGUCAACAGCUGUUGAAACACUAUCCGAGGAUGAAGAAGAUAUUGUCAGCGUAUGUACCGGAGAAGGCAUCAGCAUCACUGCCACGCCCUCUUUCACCGGCAGUGGGGGGUUUAUUCCCUCCCCUGGGGGACACUUCUCAGCACUGACACCUUCCAUGUGGCCUCAAGACAUCAUUCUGAAGUUUGGCAUUGCUCCAGAGGAAGACUCUACGGGACAGUUGGAUUACCGCUAUGAUGAGUUUGGAUUCAAAGUAGAAGAGGAAGAUGGUCCUGAGGAGAACUCCAGUAAGCUUCUUAGUACGCCAUUCGUAGAGGACCCUCAACAUCGACUUAAGUGGACAGCGUACCUCGAGUUCACGCACAACAACGAAGUCGGAGACCUCACGUGGGACAAGGUGGAGUCACAGCUGCCGAGAUCAGAGAAACUAAAGGGCAUGGUGCGGCAAGGCAUCCCCCACUCUCUGCGGCCACAGAUCUGGAUGAGGAUGUCAGGUGCCCUGGAGAAAAAGCUGAAGUCAGAACUUACCUACAAAGAUGUAGUUAAAGCCAGUGCCAAUGAUCAUCUGAUGACAUCAAAACAAAUUGAAAAAGAUCUACUUCGAACAAUGCCAAGCAACACAUGUUUCUGCAACAUCAACAGUACCGGUGUACCUCGACUCCGUCGUAUCCUGCGAGGCCUGGCGUGGUUGUACCCAGACAUCGGAUACUGUCAGGGGACAGGCGUGAUUGCUGCCUCCCUGCUGCUGUUCAUGGAAGAGGAGGACACAUUCUGGAUGAUGUGUGCCAUCAUAGAGGACCUGCUGCCGGCAUCCUACUACUCCAGCACCCUUAUAGGCAUACAGGCUGACCAGCGGGUGUUGAGACAGCUGCUCAUAAGCUACCUGCCGGACGUUGACCUUGUCUUGAAGGAACACGACAUAGAGCUGUCCCUCAUCAGCCUGCACUGGUUCCUCACCCUGUUUGCCAGUGUUGUGCACAUGAAGGUGCUGCUCAGUCUGUGGGACUUGUUCUUUUAUGAGGGGUCAGUGGUACUCUUCCAAAUUACCAUGGGCAUGCUCAAACUGAAGGAGAAUGAGCUGAAGACGCUGGACAACUCCGCCCAGAUCUUCAAUGCCCUGUCUGAUGUACCAGGAGAUGUGCAGGAUGUUGAAGAUCUCAUUGAGGUGGCUUUCCGGACUGCUGGAUCCUUGACUGAUGUCGUGGUGGAGACACACAGGCGGAAACACCUGGCCUACCUGAUGGCUGACCAGGGUGCACUGGUCAACCCAGAGUCAUCCAGGAACCUGCCAAAACAGCAACUGAACAAGCGACACCUAAAACGUUCUCGAUCCCUCGUCUCGGUCCUGCUCAGAGGAGAAUCAGAGGAUGAAGACUUUGGAAAAGCCAAAAACAUUCGCCAAACAGAGUUACUGGUAGACUUGCGGGAAGCCAUCCUCCAGGUUGCUCGUCACUUCCAAUCACUGGACCCCAAAAAUAACAAAGUUAACCUGCAGGCUGACUACACCAUGGACAGCCAUGCCAAGGACCUGGAGAACUAUGUGAACGUGGCCCGCAAUAGGAGGAGGCGGGCCAAGGCACUGCUUGACUUUGAACGUCACGAUGAUGAUGAGCUGGGAUUCAGAAAGAAUGACAUUAUCACAAUCAUUUCCCAGAAGGAUGAACACUGUUGGAUCGGGGAACUGAAUGGUUUGCGAGGAUGGUUCCCGGCCAAGUUUGUGGAGAUUCUGGAUGAGAGGAGUAAGCACUACUCUUCAGCUGGGGAUGACUCUGUGACAGAGGCUGUCACGGAUCUGGUCAGAGGGACGUUAUGUCCAGCGUUGAAAGCAAUAUUUGAACAUGGAUUAAAGAAAUCCAACAUCUUAGGAAGUCAUUGCCAUCCUUGGCUCUUCAUUGAGGAGACAGCUACAAGAGAGGUGGAGAAGGAUUUUCAGAGUGUGUACUCUAGACUGGUGCUCUGCAAGACAUACAGAUUGGAUGAAGAUGGUAAAGUUCUCACCCCAGAAGAAGUGCUUUACAGAGCUGUGCAGGCUGUGAACUUCUCCCAUGAUGCUUGUCACUCACAGAUGGAUGUCAAGUUCCGCUCCCUCAUCUGCUGUGGUCUCAAUGAGCAGGUGCUGCACCUGUGGCUGGAGACUCUCUGCUCUUCCCUGGAUGUAGUGGAGAAGUGGUACUACCCCUGGUCCUUCAUCCGGUCCCCGGGCUGGGUGCAGAUCAAGUGUGAACUAAGAAUUCUGUCCCAGUUACCCUUCAAUAUGUCUGUAGAUCGUGAAUUAAAGCGAGUGCAAGAUCGUGUGGAAACUUCUAUUGUGCAGAGUGCCAGAGAUAUCCUGGUUACUUACCAUCUCUUUAGUUGGGAACUGUGAUGAAGCCUUUGAUUGUGAUCAAUAUAUACGUCCACUCCAGUUGCUCUGCCCUGACCUUGGAUAAUGCAGGUCAAAGUCAGAUCAGGGUCAACUAGUUGAACUUCUUCCAAAGGGUUACAACAAGUUCUUGUCUGUCCAUUGUGCCUGCUGUAACUGCUGCUAUCUUCAUAUAUGUGAUCAUCAUUCCUGCUGUUGAUACAACCAGUAGCUGUCCUCAAUCCCUGGUUACUCCUGGUCAAGGCUGGUGAAGGCUUGGGCGGAAUCUUGGCUCACUAUUCCUUUACCUUAUCCCAAGACUGGGAGCUACUUCGCAAACCAGCCCCAGCAAGUUUGAAAGAAGGAGUGCGAGACAUGUUGAUAAAGCACCAUCUGUUUAGCUGGGACUUAUGAUGUGCU
rnacentral:misc_RNA from 1 species